rnacentral:tRNA from 1 species
GACCCCGUGGUGUAGGGGAUAGCAUUGCAGCUUGCGGAGCUGCCGACCCGGGUUCGAAUCCCGGCGGGGUCA